GGCAUGGUGGCUCAGUGGUUAGAGCGCCCGCCUCAUGAACGGGAGGUUCGAUCCCGGCCGGCCGAGUCA
rnacentral:tRNA from 1 species